rnacentral:rRNA from 1 species
UACGGAGGUGGCAAGCGUUGCUCGGAAUCACUGGGCGUAAAGGGUGCGUAGGCGGGUCUUUAAGUCAGGGGUGAAAUCCUGGAGCUCAACUCCAGAACUGCCUUUGAUACUGAGGAUCUUGAGUAUGGGAGAGGUGAGUGGAACUGCGAGUGUAGAGGUGAAAUUCGUAGAUAUUCGCAAGAACACCAGUGGCGAAGGCGGCUCACUGGCCCAUUACUGACGCUGAGGCACGAAAGCGUGGGGAGCAAACAGG